GACGAACGCUGGCGGCGUGCUUAACACAUGCAAGUCGAACGGAAAGGCCCUGCUUUUGUGGGGUGCUCGAGUGGCGAACGGGUGAGUAACACGUGAGUAACCUGCCCUUGACUUUGGGAUAACUUCAGGAAACUGGGGCUAAUACCGGAUAGGAGCUCCUGCUGCAUGGUGGGGGUUGGAAAGUUUCGGCGGUAGGGGAUGGACUCGCGGCUUAUCAGCUUGUUGGUGGGGUAGUGGCUUACCAAGGUUUUGACGGGUAGCCGGCCUGAGUGGGUGGCCGGCCACAUGGGGACUGAGGUACGGCCCAGUCUCCUACGGGAGGCAGCAGUGGGGAAUAUUGCACGAUGGGCGGAAGCCUGAUGCAGCAACGCCGCGUGCUGGAUGACGGCCUUCGGGUUGUAAACCGCUUUCGCCUGUGACGAAGCGUGAGUGACGGUAAUGGGUCAAGAAGCACCGGCUAACUACGUG
rnacentral:rRNA from 1 species